rnacentral:snRNA from 1 species
AUUACUUCUCGGUCUUUUGGCUAUGAUCAAGUAUAGUAUCUCUUCUUAUCAGUUUAAUACCUGGGUGAUGAAAUAAUCUGUACAACAAACCCCCAAAACACAAGUUUGCCUAUGCAUGUCCUU